rnacentral:rRNA from 1 species
UGGGGAAUAUUGCACAAUGGGCGCAAGCCUGAUGCAGCGACGCCGCGUGAGGGAUGACGGCCUUCGGGUUGUAAACCUCUUUCAGCUCCGACGAAGCGCAAGUGACGGUAGGAGCAGAAGAAGCACCGGCCAACUACGUGCCAGCAGCCGCGGUAAUACGUAGGGUGCAAGCGUUGUCCGGAAUUACUGGGCGUAAAGAGCUCGUAGGCGGUUUGUCGCGUCGUCUGUGAAAUUCUGCAGCUUAACUGCAGGCGUGCAGGCGAUACGGGCAGACUUGAGUACUACAGGGGAGACUGGAAUUCCUAGUGUAGCGGUGAAAUGCGCAGAUAUCAGGAGGAACACCGGUGGCGAAGGCGGGUCUCUGGGUAGUAACUGACGCUGAGGAGCGAAAGCGUGGGUAGCGAACAGG